rnacentral:rRNA from 1 species
AUUGAACGCUGGCGGCGUGCUUAACACAUGCAAGUCGAUCGGUAACGCGGGGGCAACCCUGGCGACGAGAGGCGGACGGGUGAGGAACGCUUGGGAAUCUGCCUAUCAGCGGGGGACAACACGGGGAAACUCGUGCUAAUACCGCAUACGCUCUACGGAGGAAAGCCGGGGACCGCAAGGCCUGGCACUGAUAGAUGAGCCCAAGCCGGAUUAGCUAGUUGGCGGGGUAACGGCCCACCAAGGCGACGAUCCGUAGCUGGUCUGAGAGGACGAUCAGCCACACUGGGACUGAGACACGGCCCAGACUCCUACGGGAGGCAGCAGUGGGGAAUAUUGGACAAUGGGGGAAACCCUGAUCCAGCGACGCCGCGUGGGUGAAGAAGGCCUGCGGGUUGUAAAGCCCUUUCGGUAGGGACGAAAGCUCUCGACCUAACACGUCGGGAGGUUGACUUAACCUACAAAAGAAGCACCGGCUAACUCUGUGCCAGCCGCCGCAGUAAAAC